rnacentral:rRNA from 1 species
UACGUAGGGGGCAAGCGUUGUCCGGAUUUAUUGGGCGUAAAGAGCGUGUAGGCGGCCAGGUAGGUCUGCUGUGAAAACUCGAGGCUUAACCUCGAGCUGUCGGCGGAAACCAUUUGGCUAGAGUCCGGAAGAGGAGAAUGGAAUUCCCGGUGUAGCGGUGAAAUGCGUAGAUAUCGUAAGGAAGACCAGUGGCGAAGGCGGGUCUCUGGACAGUUCCUGACGCUGAGGCACGAAGGUCAGGGGAGCAAACGGG